CACAAGGAAACCCUCACUCCACUCGCUCAGAUCAUUGCAACGUAGGUAGUAGAGAAUAGAGGCAGGUUGCAAUGGCUUGGCGUGGAAUCUUUAAAAUUUUCUCGACAAUCGCUUCUGGUAAGAACAAUCUCACGGAGGAGAAGAUGGAUUUCGAAGAGGAUGAUGAAGAAGGUGAAGAGGUUUUGGCCUUACCACUUCCACAUUUACCAUUUUUCCAGGAUUCCACAGUCCAGUUCAAGUUAAGGAUCCUAAAUUAUUAGCAGCUUUGCAAGAAAGCUAUGCACGGCAUGCCCCAUAUGUUGGAGCUUUUCUUGUUAAAGAUGAGCCAGGGACUGAUCCUAGUUUAGUAUCUGGUUCUGAAGCAGAGAAAAACAUAUAUGAUUUAAAAGGAAAAGAGUUAUUGAAUCGUCUUUAUGAAGUUGGUAUACAUGCUAAGGUAACUUGUUGGUUGGAAUUUUUAGAAGGUAUCCGAGGAGACUGAGUGGUCCUUGUUGCACUUGGACGACUUCGAAUCAUGGAGAUGGU